GAAAACACCAAUCAUGGAAACCACUUCAAUACGAUCUUUCUUUUUCACACAGAACUCCUCACCAACAUUACUCAUUGAGAAGAAAAAUGUCCCGAUGAUGACAAAUGUAUCACCAAGAAUAGGUUUGGAACCACCACUUCCGUCACUCGCCUUAGCAUCAGAUAGAAGCACAAGUCCAAGACCACCUGAACAGACUGCUGCACCAAAG
rnacentral:misc_RNA from 1 species